GUGGUUGUGGCUCAGAGGAAGAGCACUUGCCUAGUACGUGUGAGGUACUGGGUUCAAUCCUCAGCACCACA
rnacentral:tRNA from 1 species